AAUAAAAGGCAAAGCAGUCGAAAGGUUGUGACGCAAAGCUACAGGGCCUGAAAAUGGUUGCCAGCUG
rnacentral:ncRNA from 1 species